rnacentral:rRNA from 1 species
CGGGUGAGUAACGCGUGGAUAACCUACCUAUAAGACUGGGAUAACUUCGGGAAACCGGAGCUAAUACCGGAUAAUAUAUUGAACUGCAUGGUUCAAUAGUGAAAGACGGUUUUGCUGUCACUUAUAGAUGGAUCCGCGCCGCAUUAGCUAGUUGGUAAGGUAACGGCUUACCGAGGCAACGAUGCGUAGCCGACCUGAGAGGGUGAUCGGCCACACUUGAACUGAGACACGGUCCAG